rnacentral:rRNA from 1 species
UACGUAGGUCCCGAGCGUUGUCCGGAUUUAUUGGGCGUAAAGCGAGCGCAGGUGGUUUAUUAAGUCUGGUGUGAAAGGCAGUGGCUCAACCAUUGUAUGCAUUGGAAACUGGUAGACUUGAGUGCAGGAGAGGAGAGUGGAAUUCCACGUGUAGCGGUGAAAUGCGUAGAUAUAUGGAGGAACACCGGUGGCGAAAGCGGCUCUCUGGCCUGUAACUGACACUGAGGCUCGAAAGCGUGGGGAGCAAACAGG